UUCGGGGAAAAAAAUCAAACAAAUUUAUAAAUUGAUUACAAUUUCUAAAAUUACUAAUUAUCUUUUCAUUCAUCAAAUCACUGUAAACCGAGUUCCAUCAGAGUUCGUUGAUAGCAAGCUCCACCACCGCCAAUACGUGUUUUACGCUCGGUUUUAAGUUCAUCACGCAUACAAUUACCAACGACACAAGUGGAGACGCAUCAAGGAGAAGAAUCAACAAUCCGGGAAAAAAUAUCUACGAAAGAAAGAAAUUAAGAGUAAUAUGAUGCAAAUUUUAAACUGUUUUAGUUGUAUUUACUUUUUAGUAUUGAAUUUGAGUAAAUUGUGUUCAUUUCUUAUUUUAAGGAAAAUCGCCAUAAAUU